rnacentral:ncRNA from 1 species
GAUAGAGGCGCGGAAUUCAUGAGUAGCAGAGAUCAUAUAGCCGGGAAGGCGAUCGCUGUGAAAGGGGAGUCCGCCGAAGAGACUGAUUUCCCAAAGUCGGUUUCUGGGACGGUACAGAAUAUGUAUCGGACUGUCACGUAUGUGGAGCGCUAUCA